GUUUAAAUCAAGAGAAUAUCUGCGUAUUGAGUUCUUGGUGAUCAUAGCUGUGCCUGCCCUGUAUCUGCCUUCACAUCGCAUUUGGGAGAAAUGCAUUCUGUGUUCAGGGAGGCACGCGACACUUCUCCGCAUUUGCAUGCGCUGACUUGAUAAUGGGACUGUACUUGGAGGAAGAGAAGUGAUAGUAAAAAUCAGCAGCUUAUUGCAGGAGUGACAAGGACUCAACCUUCUGGAAGUAAUGCCCACAGAAAGCGGGAGUUGUUCAACUGCUCGCCAAGCAAAGCAGAAGCGCAAAUCCCACAGCCUUUCAAUACGAAGAACUAACAGCUCGGAACAGGAAAGGACAGGCCU